CAUGCUUGCUCAUGGGCGGCCCCAUUACGCAUUCUAGAGCCGGGCAUUAUUGGGAAGGCAUCUUCUUUAUUGAAAGUGAUUGAUUUGGAAUCCUGUCGAAAAUAAAGGAUUGAAAAGAAGAAAAAUAAGAUGAAUGAUGUUAUGUAGAUAAGAAAGAAGAUAGAAAGGCACGGCAAAGCCAAGACUUUUCCUGCACAUAGAAGUUCAAGAGAAAUUUGGAGACGAGAGGAGAGAAGGAAAAGGUUAGAGAUGAAGUUCUUGUUCCAGUGUCCUUGUUGCUCAUGUUUCUGCUUCAUGAAGCCUAAACAGGGAAGACCAAAGGUGAAGGAAACUACCAAGGAAGCGAAGAAAGAGUGAUCAUAUAUUAAAUGCAACCACAACGUUGGUGCAUAAUGUCUGAUCUACUUUUAGUGUAUGGCUCUUAUUCCUUGCUGGUUGUGAUCUUGUAAUUUGUACGUAGCAUUAUUUCUAAUCCAUAUGAAAUGCCUCUGCCUCUGAUUACUACGAUUGGAAAUAAAUGUUACCACUGCAUUUUGUU